AUGAACGCUGGCGGCGUGCCUAAUACAUGCCAGUCGAGCGAACAGACGAGGAGCUUACUCCUCUGACGUUAGCGGCGGACGGGUGAGUAACACGUGGAUAACCUACCUAUAAGACUGGGAUAACUUCGGGAAACCGGAGCUAAUACCGGAUAACAUGUUGAACCGCAUGGUUCAACAGUGAAAGACGGUCUUGCUGUCACUUAUAGAUGGAUCCGCGUCGCAUUAGCUAGUUGGUAAGGUAACGGCUUACCAAGGCAACGAUGCGUAGCCGACCUGAGAGGGUGAUCGGCCACACUGGAACUGAGACACGGUCCAGACUCCUACGGGAGGCAGCAGUAGGGAAUCUUCCGCAAUGGGCGAAAGCCUGACGGAGCAACGCCGCGUGAGUGAAGAAGGUCUUCGGAUCGUAAAACUCUGUUAUUAGGGAAGAACAAAUGUGUAAGUAACUAUGCACGUCUUGACGGUACCUAAUCAGAAAGCCACGGCUAACUACGUG
rnacentral:rRNA from 1 species